rnacentral:rRNA from 1 species
GCAGUAGCCGCGGUAAUACGAAGGGGGCUAGCGUUGCUCGGAAUCACUGGGCGUAAAGGGUGCGUAGGCGGGUCUUUGAGUCAGGGGUGAAAUCCUGGAGCUCAACUCCAGAACUGCCUUUGAUACUGAAGAUCUUGAGUUCGGGAGAGGUGAGUGGAACUGCGAGUGUAGAGGUGAAAUUCGUAGAUAUUCGCAAGAACACCAGUGGCGAAGGCGGCUCACUGGCCCGAUACUGACGCUGAGGCACGAAAGCGUGGGGGGCAAACAGGAUUAGAUACCCCCGUAGUCCCUGUCUCUUAUAC